rnacentral:lncRNA from 1 species
UACAGAGUCAAUGUGGAGGCUAUAUACAGGGGGUACCGGUACAGAGUCAAUGUGGAGGCUAUAUACAGGGGGUACCGGUACAGAGUCAAUGUGGAGGCUAUAUACAGGGGGUACCGGUACAGAGUCAAUGUGGAAGCUAUAUACAAGGGGUACCGGUACAGAGUCAAUGUGGAGGCUAUAUACAGGGGGGUACCGGUACAGAGUCAAUGUGGAGGCUAUAUACAGGGGGUACCGGUACAGAGUCAAUGUGGAGGCUAUAUACAGGGGGGUACCGGUACAGAGUCAAUGUGGAGGCUAUAUACAGGGGGUACCGGGACAGAGUCAAUGUGGAGGCUAUAUACAGGGGGAACCGGUACAGAGUCAAUGUGGAGGCUAUAUACAGGGGGUACCGGUACAGAGUCAAUGUGGAGGCUUUAUACAGGGGGUACCGUACAGAGUCAAUGUGGAGGCUAUAUACAGGGGAUUACGGUACAGAGUCAAUGUGGAGGCUAUAUACAGGGGGUACCGGUACAGAGUCAAUGUGGAGGCUA